rnacentral:lncRNA from 1 species
GGAAGCAGAGCUAAGGAAGGCAGCCACUGCCCACCCAUGGCUGAGCAGGGAGAAAUGAAUACCUCAACCUCACUUUCCCACUACCCCCAGUCUCCCAGCAAGCCUCCUACCAGAAGGCAGAGGGCAGGGCAGCCCUUUGACACAAUCCACAAAGAUCAGCCCUUCUGGAGCUCAGAGCUAUUACAGAGAAGCCUGGAGAGUGCAUUGAGACAGUUUUUCUCCAGGUGGUGUGACACUGCUGCUAAUAAUGGUGAUGACGUCAAAACUGCCAAGGGCCUUAGAAAUCUGCCAGUCCAACACGAAGCAGGGAGAUCACAAAAAAGGGGAGGCAGAGCUGGAAGAGAACACAGCUGUCCUGACAUCCAGGUGCUCCAUUAUGCCCGAAAGCUUAACUUCACCACCAAAGCCCAAGAAGAGGUUUUCUUCACCAAAGAUGGGGAAGUGCUGGCAACGUUUGACAUUAAAAACAUCUAUGUUCUCCCAGACCUGUCAGGACAGACAGCCAUUGUUGGACACUUUGACUUCAGAGCACCUUCUGGAAAAGAGCUUCUGUUCGAUGACAGCGCAAUUGUCUGGGCAGAAGGACUCUUAAAGAUUAGAGCUGAGAGAACCCUAAGAACCAAGACCACACAGCACCUCUCACAUCCCAAGCUCCAGGAGAAUCACUUGAACCCGGGAGGCAGAGGUUGCAGUGAGCCAAGAUCGUGCCACUGAACUCCAGCCUGGGUGACAGAGUGAGGUCCUGUCUCAAAAAAAAAAAAAAAAAAAAAAUACAUAUUAUUACUACAACUUGAGUAUCCCUCAUCCGAAUUGCUUGGGACCAGAAGUGUUUUGGAUUUCAGAUUUUUUCAGAUUUUGAAGUAUUUGCAUAUGCAUAAAGAAAUAUCUUGGGGAUAGGAUCCAAGUCUAAAUAUGAAAUUCAUUUAUGUUUCAUAUACCCCUUAUACACAUAGUCUGAAGGUAAUUUUUUACAAUAUUUUUAACUAUAUCAUGCAUGAAACAAAGUUUGUUUAUGUCAAGUCAGGUGUGGAAUUUUCCACUUGAGGCAUCAUGUUGACACUCAAAAAGUUUUGGAUUUUGGAGCAUUCCAGAUUUCAGAUUUUCAAAUUAGGGAUGCCCCAUCUAUAUCUCCAUUUUAUUGAAGAGGAAUCUGAAGUUUAGAGAUAUUAAGCCCAAGGCACACAAACCAUAAAGGGCAAAACCAGAAUUCCAACCUCAAGAUGUCUUGUUUUCCCACCACACUCGAAAUCUGGAAGAGCUUAUUCUUACCUAUCACUGUUUCCCUAGCACCCUGUACAGUACCUGAUAUAUGGAACACAUUUUUAAUUAUCUGAGCAAGAAACGGAGGAAGAGGAAAAUGAAAGAGAGAAGGAAAAGAUGAUAAAGAGGGGUUUAAUAAAGGAAGGAGUAAGAGAAAGGAAGAGAGAGAGGGACCCAGUAAGUGAAAACGAUGAGGCUUAUUCCUCCACAACCUGACUGCACAGAUGUCGCUCAAUUCCCCCUGCAGUCUCCCCAGCACUCUCUCCCCUCCACUCUCCCCCAUCUUGUGUGUAGGUCCCUUCCUCUGCCUGCAACGAAAAAUGUCCUGUGGAAAUCAGGAAGUCAACCCUAUUUGAGAAGUGAAAAUGCUGCUACAAAAGCCUUCCUUGCCCCAGAAGAGAAAUCGCAAUGUCGCCAGGUAAGGAGGGAGGCUGGUUCUUGGUCAGAGGGUGGCCAGCCAUCAGCCAGAGUAGGCUUCAGAUGAAAGCUGUGUCCACAUCAAGGAAAUCCCUUCAAUGGAAAAGUCCAGGGAAGUGGGGACCAAAAACAAGAUGUCAAUGUGACCUUCCCAGAUGCUGCAUUAAAGCCAUUUGAGGCUAUUACAUUCAUUCUUUCUUUUAUCAA